GGAAUAUUGGACAAUGGGGGCAACCCUGAUCCAGCCAUGCCGCGUGUGUGAAGAAGGCCUUCGGGUUGUAAAGCACUUUCAGCGAGGAAGAACGCCUGGCGGUUAAUACCCGCCAGGAAAGACAUCCCUCGCAGAAGAAGCACAGGCUAACUCCGUGCCAGCAGCCGCGGUAAUACGGAGGGUGCAAGCGUUAAUCGGAAUUACUGGGCGUAAAGCGCGCGUAGGUGGCUUGAUAAGCCGGUUGUGAAAGCCCCGGGCUCAACCUGGGAACGGCAUCCGGAACUGUCAGGCUAGAGUGCAGGAGAGGAAGGUAGAAUUCCCGGUGUAGCGGUGAAAUGCGUAGAGAUCGGGAGGAAUACCAGUGGCGAAGGCGGCCUUCUGGACUGACACUGACACUGAGGUGCGAAAGCGUGGGUAGCAAACAGG
rnacentral:rRNA from 1 species